GGUUCGAUCAUGGCUCAGAUUGAACGCUGGCGGGAUGCUUUACACAUACAGAGUCGAACGGCAGCACGGACUUCGGUCUGGUGGCGAGUGGCGAACGGGUGAGUAAUGUAUCGGAACGUGCCUAGUGGCAGGGGAUAACUACGCGAAAGCGUAGCUAAUACCGCAUACGCCCUUCGAGGAAAGCAGGGGACCUUCGGGCCUCGCACUAUUGAAGCAACCGAUAUCGGAUUAGCUAGUUGGUGGGGUAACGGCUCACCAGGCGACGAUCCGUAGCUGGUUUGAGAGGACGACCAGCCACACUGGGACUGAGACACGGCCCAGACUCCUACGGGAGGCAGCAGUGGGAAUUUUGGACAAUGGAAACCUGAUCCAGCCAUCCCGCGUGUGCGAUGAAGGCCUUCAGGGUUGUAAAGCACUUUGGCAAGAAAGAAACAGCUGGGAUAAUACCCGUGCAACUGACGGUACCUGCAGAAUAAGCACCGGCUAACUACGUGCCAGCAGCCGCGGUAAUACGUAGGGUGCAGCGUUAAUCGGAAUUACUGGGCGUAAAGCGUGCGCAGGCGGUUCGGAAGAAAGAUGUGAAAUCCCAGAGCUUAACUUUGGGAACUGCAUUUUUUAACUACCGAGCUAGAGUGUGUCAGAGGGAAGUUCGGAAUUCCGCACCGAUAUAGCAGUGAAAUGCGUAGAUAUGCGGAGGAACACCGAUGGCGAAGGCAGCCUCCUGGGAUAACACACUGACGCUCAUGCGAAAAGCGUGGGGAGCGACAGGAUUAGAUACCCUGGUAGUCCGCCCUAGCGAUGUCAACUAGCUGUUGGGGCCUUCGGGCCUUGGUAGCGCAACUAACGCGUGAAGUUGACCGCCUGGGAGUACGGUCGCAAGAUUAAAACUCAAAGGAAUUGACGGGGACCCGCACAAGCGGUGGAUGAUGUGGAUUAAUUCGAUGCAACGCGAAAAACCUUUACCCUUGACAUGUCUGGAAUCGAAAGAGAUUUGGGAGUGCUCGCAAGAAAACCCGGAACACAGGUGCUGCAUGGCUGUAGUCAGCUCGUGUCGUGAGAUGUUGGGUUAAGUCCGCAACGAGCGCAACCCUUAUCGUGGAUUGCUACGAAAGGGCACUAUUGUGAGACUGCCGAUGAAGCCGGAGGAAGGUGGGGAUGACGUCAGAGUCCUCAUGGCCCUUAUGGGUAGAGGGCUUCACGCGUCAUACAAUGGUCGGGACAGAGGUCGCCAACCCGCGAGGGGGAGCCAAUCCCAGAAACCCGAUCGUAGUCCGGAUCGCAGUCUGCAACUCGACUGCGUGAAGUCAGAAUCGCUAGUAAUCGCGGAUCAGCAUGUGCGGUGAAUACGUUCCCGGGUCUUGUACACACCGCCCGUCCUGCCUGGGGUGGUUUUACCAGAGAAGUAGUUAGCCUAACCGUAAGGAGGCGAUUACCACGGUAGGGUUCAUGACUGGGGUGAAGUCGUAACAAGGUAG
rnacentral:rRNA from 1 species